GACGAACGCUGGCGGCGUGCUUAACACAUGCAAGUCGAACGGAAAGGCCCUGCUUGCCGGGUACUCGAGUGGCGAACGGGUGAGUAACACGUGGGUGAUCUGCCCUGCACUUCGGGAUAAGCCUGGGAAACUGGGUCUAAUACCGGAUAGGAGCCAUUUUUAGUGUGAUGGUUGGAAAGUUUUUUCGGUGUAGGAUGAGCUCGCGGCCUAUCAGCUUGUUGGUGGGGUAAUGGCCUACCAAGGCGGCGACGGGUAGCCGGCCUGAAAGGGUGGACGGCCACAUUGGGACUGAGAUGCGGCCCAGACGCCUACGGGAGGCAGCAGGGGGGAAUAUUGCACAAUGGGCGCAAGCCGGAUGCAGCGACGCCGCGGGGGGGAUGACGGCCUUCGGGUUGUAAACACCUUUCGCUAGGGACGAAGCUUUUUGUGACGGUACCUAGAUAAGAAGCACCGGCUAACUACGUG
rnacentral:rRNA from 1 species